rnacentral:lncRNA from 1 species
AUCUUUUAUUUUCCAUUUUGCCGUCACAUCACACAACCUCUAUCCGCAGGGAGGGCAAGGCCUGGAAGCCCUCGUCAAACGGUUUCAUUUACCUCCAACUGCCAGAAACCGGGGGAAGCAGGGCCUUUAGAAGAAUCGAGGUGUAUCUGUGUUUUUUUUGAAAGGAGAUGUUUGUCCAGGUUCAAGCACUGCACCCUCUGUGGCAAGCGUCCCAGGUCCCAGGUCUCAGCCUGUCUCAAUUGCAUAGAAGAGAGACCCAGGAAAGGAAAGAUCAUAAUCCCUGAUAAUCUGCAGGUGAAAGUAACAGUUGGAAGUGUCUAUCCCUCAGUUGCUGAUUUAUUAUUUAGAACAUGUUAAAGAGGAACUGGGACCCAAUCUCUGAAAACUUAACUCGGAGGAGCUAUUGAAACAGCAGGAUCCGCAUGCUUAAAACCAGGUACAGGAUAGAGGACAGUUGAAUCCUUGCAAUUUCUGAGCCUGUCUCCAAAUCCUCAAUACCUAUUAUUAUUAUUAUUUUUUUUUUUUGUCUUUUUGCUAUUUCUUUGGGCCGCUCCGCGGCAUAUGGAGGUUCCCAGGCUAGGGGUUGAAUCGGAGCUGUAGCCACCGGCCCAUGCCAGAGCCACAGCACCGCGGGAUCCAAGCCGCGUCUGCAACCUACACCACAGCUCACAGCAACACCGGAUCGUUAACCCACUGAGUGAGGCCAGGGACCGAACCUGCAACCUCAUGGUUCCUAGUUGGAUUCGUUAACCACUGUGCCACGACGGGAACUCCUGUCAUUUUUCACCUUGCACAGCAAGGUGACCCAGUCACACAUACAGGUGUACAUUCUUUUUUUCUCACGUUGUCAUGCUCCAUCACAAGUGACCAGAUGUAGUUCUCAGUGCUGUACAGCAGGAUCCCAUUGCUUAUCCAUGUUAUUUUCUUUUUUAACAUUAUUAUUUUUAUAGCCAUCCUAGUGGAUGUGAUAUCCAUAUUAUUCUUUUUCAAAAUUUUGUUGAGGGAAUUCCUGUUGUGCCUCAGCAGGUUAAGAACCCAACCAGUAUCCAUGAGGAUGAGGGUUCAAUCCCUGGCCUUGCUCAGGGGGUUAAGGAUCCAGUGUUGCCACAAGCUGCAGCAUAGGUCACAGAUGCUGUUCAGAUCUAGUGUUGCUGCGGCUAUGGUGUAGGCCCAGCAGCUACUGCUCCAAUUCGAGCCCUAGGCUGGUGUGGCCUUAAAAGAAAAAAAUUUUUAUUGAUGUAUAGUUGAUUUCCAAUGUUGUGUUAAUUUCUGCUGCAUAGCAAAAUGACUCCGUUUUAUAUAUAUAUAUAUAUAUAUAUAUAUAUAUAUAUAUAAAUACACACACACAUAUAUACAU